AACAUAUUAAUAAAAAAAUAAUAAUAAAUACUAUAUUAAUAUUAUAAAAAAACAAUUAUUUUAAAAUAGAAAAAUAUGUAAAUGAAAUACUUUUUAUAAGUAGGAGGGUAGUACAGAAUAAGCUUUUCAGUUCACACUCUCUUUAUAGUCUUUCCUUUCACACCACUUCUGUCUCUUUGUUGUUCAUGCUGUCUGCAUCUUCGGCCAGUGAGCGGGUGUGUCCCUUCCCUUCCCUUCCCUUCCAAUCAAUGUUGAACUGAGUCAAGUUUGUUACUUUACAACUGCAAAAAGAUUUUAAGAUGAGGGCUUCUUUGGGUGCUGUAAUUGGUAGGUACCCAUCAAGUGAUGGAACUAUCCACAUGGGUGGAAAUGGGAUCAUAAAGCAUAACAGAAAAUGCAGAGACAUAGCUGUUCUUGUCAUCUUCAUUGCAUUCUGGGUUGCCAUGAUUGUUAACUCUAGCUUUGCUUUCAACAAAGGAAACCCAUUAAGGUAUAAAUCUUAAAGUCUCAAACUUUAUUUCAUUGUGUUUCUGUAAUUGGCAAGUUUUAACUUGUAGUUCUCAUGUUUGGACUUAAUCAUGAGAUUUAUAUGCUAUUUCUUAAUGGGGUUCUUUUAUGGUGUUUUGCCUUUGUUAUGGAAACUUUGCAAUGGAAGUAGGUCUUGAUUGUAUAGUAAUUUGAAGCCUAUUGCUUUUGUUGUUAGGGUUGUGUCAUUUGUGAAUUGUGAUAACUGAUACUGUUCUUUAUCAGGCUUACUUUUGGUUUAGACUACAAAGGAAAUGUUUGUGGGGAUAAGCAUGCAGGACUUCAUGAGUUGGAGCUCAAGUACUGGCUAAACCCUAAUCAGGUUUAUCAAAGUGGAUUAAAGGAUAGUCAGUUUAAACUCGCUGAUGCUCGCAGUAUAUGCUUGUUGGAUUGUCCUACUCCUUCUGAAGAGUCACUUACUUGGGUUUGUGAUUAUCCUGAAGGAGAUAUUCGUGUUUCAAUGAAUGAUUGGAUUGAUAUGAACUAUGAUUAUUAUGAUUUGCUCACGCCAGAAAUGAAAAACUCGUCUGUUCAACUUCAAGGCCCUUGUUAUCCCGUCAUAUUUCCUAGUGUAAAUGGUGAGAGAGCUUUUCCAUUCUAAUGUCUUCAAAGUUCAUAGAUUUUGUGUUUUGUUCUAUGCCUGAUAAUACUUGUGUCGUAUGUCUGUAUUACUUUGAGUUUUGACAUUGGUUGCAUCGUGUGCUCUUUCCUCGUAAGAAGAGGAGAGGGCGUUAGGGAUCUGUCAAAAUCCUAUUCCAUAACGAGUUUUUGAAAUACCUGUUAAAGUUAGUUGGAGUUUGUUAUAGUAGUUGCAAGUUUUUUAAGAUUAGUUAGAUUAGUUAAGAUGAUCGCUACAUAAAGUGCAUAUCCUACAUUUAUUGUAAUCAACUUUUCUGGUUCUAUCGAUUUUAAGUAAUUAAUGCAUCUCUCAAUUUUAUUUUUCUCCCUGUGGCUCUACCAUGAUUCUCAAAAAUACCUAUGGCUGAUUCUUAAAGCAUAAUGUUUUUGUCUAGUUUACUGGAGUUGCCAAUUCAUUGCUAGAGCAUCAAAUGUGUCUUUAAAGCAUUGGCAGCAGUUGGGUGGAGUUAACAUCAAUGAAGACACUGUCAUUGAUAAGUCCAUUCACCGAUAUAUCAAUUCUCACUCGGCUAUCUUAAAGGUUAGUUUUUUUUUAAACAUUCAAUUGGUCGAUAUUUUUGGCUAUGUUUGGAUAUUUUAAAACGAAUGAUGCAGAAUGAAGUGGAGUGGAAAGGAAUAGAACGGAAUAAAAAUGUCAUUCUAUUGUUUGGAUAUGGAGCAAAAUAGUCAUUCCGUCCAAAUUGGAGUCUUGAUUCUUUCGAGCAAAAUAGUACACUUGUUUUGAAACUUUGUGAACUGUAUGUUGCUGAAAUUUAAUUUUUUUACAAUUCUUUGUGUCUGCAGAGAUACAUGGCUGACAUAGGAAAGACUUGGCCUGUCCUGAUUGUUUGUGGUGCGAUUUUACCUUUGUUUCUCUCUGUCAUUUGGCUGCUGAUGAUCCGGCAUUUUGUUUCUGCAAUGCCUUGGAUAACGGUGGUUUUCUUUGAUCUUCUAAUAGUAUCAGUUACAAUGUUCUACUACCUAAAAGGUUAGAAUCUUCGCUUCGCUAUUUUGUGAACCAAAUACCUGUUAUAUGAUGUUUCGAUCCCAAACAAAGAUCAAAAUAUGAAUAUUCCUUUUGAAUAUCGAGGCAAAUCUUUUUGUUUAUCUUAGUAAUCAUCGGUGGAAUGAAAUACUGAUUAAUGCUGCCUUCCCUUCUUUACUUUCAGUUGGAUGGAUAGGAAAUGACACGAUAACACCCAUCAUUGGGGAGCAUGAUCCUUACAUUCAUAUAUAUGGAAGGGUAAGCAUCACUCUGCCCGAAUUAGUAUAUAUUUAUUCCAUGAUCCCUCCCUCUCCCUCUGCACUGAUGACGUUAUCAUGUAAAUCUUACAAACAGAUUUCGGUUUCAGGAGCUGACUCAUCUACGUGUUGUCACUAUCCUCAUGACUUUUAUAAUGGUUGUUUCCGUUCUUACAUCAAUCGCUAUUAUUCGGCGCAUCCUUAUGGCAACUUCUGUCCUUAAGGUUGCAGCAAAAGUGAUAGGAGAAGUUCAAGCACUUAUUGUUUUCCCAAUCAUACCAUUCGGUAUCCUUGCAGUGUUCUACAUGUUAUGGAUUUCGGUUUUUCUCAAUUUAUUCAGCUCUGGUCAGGUUGUUCAGAAUGACUGCCACUCUAACUGCUGUUCAUAUAGCCUCAUGGAAAAGAGGGUAAUCUGUGAUCGUUGUUGCGGAUAUAGCAUCCAUUACACACCACAUAUUGGAGUUGCUAUCCUCUUUCACCUGUUUGGUUGUUAUUGGGUUACACAAUUUCUCAUUGCAUGCUCAUCAACGGUGAUUGCCGGAUCUGUCGCCUCUUAUUAUUGGGGACGUGGCGAAGCAUCAGUAAGUCCAAAAGUUUGAAUUCGAUUAUUAAUUAAGUAACCGAUUUUCUAUGCUAGUUACAAAGUUACAUCAUUAAAAUUUUAUUCGUUUUUGUCAAUGCAGCCAGAAAUUCCUUUUAUUUCUGUCUUUUCCUCCAUGAAGAGGCUUAUACGAUACAGUCUUGGUUCUCUUGCUCUUGGCUCUUUGACUGUAUCAUUUGUAGAAUCAAUCCGCUUCCUGCUCGAAUCUAUUCGCCGCAAACUGAAAGUCUCCAGUCAUGCACCUGACAACUGGUUCGGGAAGGCUGCAUACCAAUCAUCUCAAUUUUUUCUCAUGUGUAUCGAGUGGACCAUCAAAUCAAUUAACCGAAAUGCUUAUAUCAUGGUAAAUUGCAUUCAUCAAUUUGAUGCAACCAAGUAUAUUACUUUUGUUUUCAUUCCUUAUUCGGUCAGUCAUCGUUUUCUGUUAAUUUGUCUUUCUGCAGAUUGCUAUAACCGGUAAAAGUUUCUUUGGAGCUUCAUCGAUUGCAACAAAUUUGAUCAAGAAUAACAUCUUACGGAUUGGUCGUGUCAAUGUGAUCGGAGACGUUAUCUUAUUCCUCGGAAAACUAUGUGUCAGCCUAUCGAGUGCUGUUUUCGCUUUUCUCAUGUUAGACACUCACAAAUACAAAUCAGCGCAUAACAAGAUUUCAUCUCCGUUCUUCCCUGUCAUGGUAUGUUUUCUAUUAUCUAACAUAACCAUAUAAUAGAUAACAAUUAUCAAGAUUCUUCUGAAUCUCACAUUCGAUAUCGUGUAAAAUGCAGGUUUGCUGGGCUCUUGGAUAUAUCGUUGCGACACUUUUCUUUGGAGUUAUAGAGAUGUCGAUUGACACCAUCAUUCUCUCAUUCUGUCAGGAUUCUGAAGAGCAUGGAACAGCACAAUAUGCUCCUCCCCUUCUCAUUGAAACUCUCAGUGACCAAAAUGAAAUGCAAAGAUUUGCGCAAGGAUCGCAUUAAAAUAUUUCCGUGUAUUGUAUUCUCAGUUGUCGACUUUUUAGCAUCACUUCAGUGAUUAGAAUCUAGUUAAGAUUAGUUGAGUUCUUCCUCUUGUGUAUAUGUUUUAUUCAAUGUCGAAAUUAGUAAGCAUUUUAAGUAGUUAUAUUUUUUUUGAUAAAUAGGUUCUUGGAUAUUAUGUUAUGACCAUAAAUACAAUAGAUUUUAUACUAUUUAUAUCUUUGAAGUAAUUCAUUUUCAGUAUUUGUUUUGUUAAGCUUAACUUAGUUACUGUAGGUUAGUAUGUUAUCUACGUGACAUUAUUAUUUGUGUAUAUAUAGUAUUAUAGUUGUCAAUAGUUAUAUCCACGGAGUAUUAUAGUACAAUGUGUGUGCGUAUUAUAGUACAAUGUGUGUGCACUCAUUUUUUGUGUGUAACCGUUUUAACAGAGUAGUGGAAGUUUGUUAUUCUCUCUUCUCUCUUCUCUCUCUUCUAUUCUUCAUAUUGUGCAUCAACAAUUGGUAUUUAAAGCUUCGAUUCAAAUCCAUAGGGAAACACGAGUGAACUAUGAGGCGUUGUGUGAUUGAUUUUAUUUCUUGAGUUCGUGUUGAACUUUUGAUUGAAAUCGUAACAAAAUCACAAUUCUUGAUUAUGUGGGAUUGAAAAACACUAGUGUUUGGUGAGAUAUGAGUUUUGCACACGGUUGAAGAUGAACGAAAACGGUAAUCUGAGUACCAAGCUUCUAGUGUUCGAUGGCAAGAACUUGAAUCGUUGGAUAAUUCAGAUGCGUGUGUUGUUUGGUGCUCAAGAUGUUCUUGAUCUCGUCAACCACAAUUACGUUUAGGUUGCACUUCUGGCAAAUGCAACGGAUGCGCAGAUAAAUGCUCAGCGUUAUCUGAGGAAGAAGGAUCAUAAUGCGUUGUUCUACAUCCAUCGGUGUGUGAAUGUGAACGUGUUUGAGAAAAUCGGUGAUUCGAUGCCGGCGAAAGCUGCGUGGGACACACUGAUACAGUGCUACGACGGUGAUGCAUCAACGAAGAAGGUAAAACUUCAGUCUCUAUGUAGGCAGUAUGAGAAUCUCAGCAUGAAGAACAAUGAUAAGGUACCUGACUACAUCUCUAGAGUGAUUCUGAUAAUAAAUGAGAUGAAGUCGUGUGAAUAAACUCUCUGAAGAAAAUAUCUUUGAGAAGAUACUUAGAUCUCUUACUCCCCAGUUUGAUUACACCGUUAUAGCAAUUGAAUAGUCUAAGAAUUUGAGCACCAUAAGCAUUGAAGAGAUGCAAAGAAGUCUAGAGGUACAAGAGUUGCGUAUGAUCGAAAGAACCUCUGAGAGAGAGGUAGAGCAAACUCUAAAAGCUUCUUUUGUCAAGAAGGACCAGAAGCAGUCUUAGUCAGAGGCCAAGAAAAGACAUGGUAGAUCCUAGGAGUCAGAAGCCUCCAAUUCUGAUGAGAAGAAACAUCAGAAGGAAAUGGAGAAACUUGACAAGAGAAUGGUUCAAUGAUACUGUUGUAAUAUGUUUGACCACUUUGCUAAGGACUAAUGGUCAAACAAGGAAAAGAAGUCAGAAGAAGCAAACAUGGCCAGAGGAGAUUAUGAUGAUGAACCUGUGCUAUUGAUGGCUUAUGGAUCUGAUGAUGAUGAACCCGUGCGAUUGAUUUCUGAUUCUGAAGGAGACUCUGAAUAUGAGUCAGAGUUAGAAGAUGACUCUGAAUCUGAAGUCGAGUCUGAUUCUAAAUGAGUCAGAAUCAGAAUAUGAGUCAGAAUUUGAAGGUUUUGAAGAAUAGUUAGAAUCUGAGGGUUCUGAAGAUGAGUCAGAGUCAGAAGAUGACUCUGAAUUUGAAGAUGAGUAAGAAUCAAAAAAUGAUUCUGAAGCUGACUCUGAAGAUGAAGAAGACUCUGAAGGCGAGUCUGUUUCUGAAGGUGAUUCUGAUUCUGAUUCUGAUUUUGAUGAUGAUCCAGAAUUUGGAGGUAAUCCAACCUCUAGAGAUGGAGCUUCUGAAGGUGGAGCCUAUGAAGGUGGUCCAACUUCUGAGGGUGAUCAAGCAUAUGAUACUGAUCCAGAAUCAGAAGGAGAUGAUGUAAAUGUCACAACUUUCAAGCAAUUAGUUGGCUCUCUAAGGUAUUUGUGUAAUACCAGACCUGGCAUUUGCUAUGCAAUUGGAAUGGUUAGCAGGUUCAUGAGUAAACCGAAGUGGUCUUAUCACCAAGCUGCUAUCAGGAUUCUGAGGUAUAUAAAAGGAUCUCUGAAAUGUGAAAUUUUGUUCCUUUCUGGAGAGAAGACUAAUUCAGAGCUGAUGUGUUUCUCAGACUCUGAUUGGUGUGAAAACAUAGUUAACAAAAGAAGUACUUCUGGAUAAUUGUUUAAGUUUCUGGGAAGCCCUAUUUCUUGGUAUUCCAAGAAGAAAUUGGCAGUUGCUUUGUCAACCUGUGAAGCAAAAUAUUGCAGAUGUUGUGGCUGCAUGUUAAGCUGUCUGACUUCUGAAUUUACUGCAAGAUCUGAAGAUUAAGGUAAACAAGCCUAUGAAGCUGAUGAUUGAUAACAAGUCUGUAAUCAAUCUUGCCAAGAAUCCAAUGUUUCAUAGGAGAAGCAAGUAUAUCGAGACUAAGUAUCACUUUCUGAGAAGUCAGAUUCAAAAUGGAGUGUUAGAAGUUAUGCAUUGUAGCACCCAAAAACAGCUAGAAGGUGUUUUGACGAAAACGAUCAAGAUUCUUUGAAACUUGUGAUUGAACCUGUCAAGUUUUCAUUACUUUGAGCCUCUCUAUUUUCUUUUCUUAGUAACAAUGACUUUUUAUAACUAAAAUCACCAAUCAUUUUAUUCAAAUAAUUGUUUCGUCACCGCUUGACUGCAUUAUUUUUCACAACUAAUUAUUUUACCUCUACAAUAAUUUGGUUUUUGGAGUUUUAGUUUCUUUCCUUGUCUAUCAUAAAAGGUCAAUAGAAAAAUAAAAUAAAUAUAUAUAUAAUGAGUGCUUAAUACUGCUAAAAUAACAACAAUCAAUUCAUAUUCCAUCAAGUGUGUUACAUGGAUUAAAUUUGGCAAUAAUGUUUUAUCCAAUACUAUGUUUCUAUCUAGUUCGUUAAUCUUAAGAUCUUUUUUAAUAGUUUUUUUCUAUAAUUUUUUCAAGCUUUUCGCUAUUUCUAUUUAUUUGACUCUUCUUCUUUUGUUCUACUCUUCUUAAAACAAAAUUUAUCAGACUUCUCUCUACAUGGUCAAACCAUUUAAGUCUAUUUUUCACUAUAGGUGUUAUCCCAACACUCUCUAUGAUAUUAUUAUUUUUAAUUUUAUUUUGUCUAGUCUUACCAUACAUAUAACACAAUAUCCUCAUCUCAGCUACACUUACUUUAUUCUCCUGUUGAUUCUUAACCUUUCAACAUUCUGUCUCGUACAAUUUUGCAGGUUUUAUCGGUGUCCGAUAAAAUUUCCCUUGAACUCGAGCAAUACUUUUGUGUCACAUAAAACUCCCGAGGUGCUCCUCCAUUUUCAUCCAUCCAUCUUGAAUUGAAUGGUUUCAAUCCCCUUCUAUUUUUAAUCAUUUUUUAUUACAGACCCUUGAUAUUUAAACCGCAUGACUUGUGGAGGAUGAUAUAGUCUCCAACUUUAAUCUCUAAGUUAGAAAUACUUCUCCUUUUGUUGAAUUUAUAUUUCAUAUACUCUGCCUUACUUCUGCUUAGGAGAAAGUCAUGUGUUUAUGAAACUCGUCUCAAAGUAGGACUAUAUUAUAUACAAACAAACAUACAUCUCGGUGUUGCCUCUUAGAUGUGUUAUGUGAGCACAUCCAACAUUAAUUAAAAAUAUAUGAGCUUAGGGUUGAACCUUAGUGUAAUCCUACUGUAAUAGGAAAAUCGCUUGUCUUUCCACCAUAUGUCCUCACACUAAUCGAUAAUCGUUCAUACAUAUCUUAGAUAGCUCGAAUAUAGUCAAUCCUAACCCCUUUCUUCUAUAUUACUUUCAACAAAAGAUUUCUAAACACUAUCAUACACAUUCUCCAAGUCAAUAAAAAAUUAAGCGUAAGUCUUAUUGGUCCGUUUAAUACUGUCUCAUCACACGUCGUAGUAGAUAAAUCGCUUCCAUGGUUGACCUCUUAAACAUAAAAUCAAAUUGAUUCUUAGUAACUCGUGUAUCUUUUUUUUUAUUAUGCAUUUAAUCACUCUAUUCUAUAAAUGCACACUUGAUCAAUAUCGUAGAGAUUCGACAAAAUUUUACGUUGGAUUUAAUUGUCUACACAGUCUCUUCUUUUAUCUAGACUUAGAACCGACUAAUUCUAUGUAACAAUGCUAACAUAAAUAUGAUUUAGAAAGUAUUUAAUAAAUACAAAUUAUUUGAGAGAUCGUUACUAAAAUAUUACAAGAAGAAAUAUAGAUAUAAAAAUUAAAAUAUUGUUAAAAGUUUUUAAUAUAUCUUAAAUUUUUUUAACAAUAUUUUACGUUUUAUAAAUGUUUUUUUAGCAACUCCCAAAUGCUAGAAAUUAUUGGACUGAAGGUAACAGAAAAAUGAAAUAUUUAGCAUAAAGUAAUAUAACUAAUUUCUUAUUUGUUACAAGAAAUUGAAAAGAAAAAAAACAUAAAGUUUCAAAUUUGUUUAUGGAUUAUUAAUUUUUAUAUCUAUAUUUCUUCCUGUAACCAACAAUGAUAAUUUUUUAAUGAAAAAAUAAAUAUAUAAACAAAGAGUUAAAAACCCAUCAAUCAUAAAAAAAAAACCAUUUAGUAAAUACAAAAAAUAUCACACUGAAAAAAUAAACGUGAUAAAGAACAAAUGAACACAAAGAGAAAAUAAACAAUAAAAAACGAAACUAAAAAUCCAUAAUAUUCUUCUAUUGGAUUUUGACCGUUGAAUUGACUGCAUUUUAGCAAAAUAAAAAUUUGGAAAAGUGUGAAAGUAUUUAAGAUUGAUCUAGUUUGUUAAAGUUGUAUGAAGCUGUAGGCAGAACACAUGUUGGGUGCGAUGCUCCAGCAUGUUGGUACGACAUCUGGGCUUUGUGCAACAGGCGCCAAAAUACUGCGUUUUGGAGUGUGCUAUACCGAAGAUUUGUUAAAGCUUUUAUUGUUAUUAAUUUAACAAUAUGAUGAUUUGUUUGACAGUGGGAUAGAGUUUAAUUCAAAUUUAAAUGACUAUUUGAAUUUGAAUUUAAAUUAAAACAAAUCAUAUCUUGUUGGAGAUAUUCAAGGAGCAAAUAAAAUAUCCAACAUAAUUUGCAUUAAUUAUGGACGAAUUCAAAGAUACAAUCAAAGGAGAAAAGCCCAGAGUUACAUUGCUAUAUAAGAAGCUCAAACCUACAUUGAAAAACAAGCACUCCCAUUGAAGAUCUUAGAGUGUUAGAUUUUGUGCCGUGUAUUCACGCUAAUGCACUAAUAUGAUUAGUGUUGGAUCUUUAUGUACACCUCUAUGUUUCAGUAACUUGGCAUAAAAUGUUUCUUUAGUUGAGUUGUAAUCAAAACUAUUUAUGUACACCUUAUGUUUCAGUAACUUGACAUAUAAAGUUUGUCUAGUUGAGUUGUAAUUUUCAAGAUUCUUUAUCUUCUAAGUUGAUCACUAGGGUGUAGUGGUUGUUUUCCCUUGUCACUGGGACUGUGGCAAAGAAGAAAAUGAUUAGGUUCUCAUAUUUAAGGGGAAACUCUAUAUAGAAAGUCAUUGGGUAGUGUUAGGAAAAGGCAUUGAACAACAUACAGUCUGUUGUUGCUUGUAAGUCUAAUUGUGCUAAACUACUAAUAAUGAUUUUCCUUACUCGGGUUGUGGACUCAGCCCCUAGACGUAGGUGUAGUUUCAUCAAACUGGGUAAAUAAUUUGAUUGUGUUCUUUAUUUCUUUUCUUGUCCAUCAUCUAUUACUAGUUAGUGUUUUAUUUCCGGUGUAUCGUAUCACACCCGUUGCUGGAGCAUUGUGUUCGACAUCUGUCCUGUGAGGAACAACAUUUCAAUUAGUAUUAGAGCAGACACCCUAGCUUGUUGGGUGAGCUCCCGAGAAGAUAAAUUCUUCUAAAAGGGAGGCAGUUAAAGAUGGAAGAUCAGUCAACAAAAUCAUCUAUUUAGAUGGCACAAACUAUGACUAUUGGAAGGUGAUGAUGGUGGAUUUUCUCAAAUCCUUGGGAAACAAAGCAUGGAAAACUGUGAUCCAGGGAUGGAAACAUCCAAUAAUUACCUCUAAAGAUGAUACAACCAACCUAAAACCAGAGGCUGAUUGGACUGAUGCUGCAAAUAAUGAAACUCUUGGAAACUCUAAGGCAUUGAAUGCAAUUUUCAAUGGUGUGGACAAGAACAUUGAUAAGUGUCAAAAGAUAGUAUUUAUCUGCAUGAAAACUUGUCACCUAUGGGCUCAAACUAACAUUUUCUACCAUUGACUUCCCCAAGUAUUGCAUAAAAUUAACUUUGAUACAUAUAUGUGUGGCGUCUUUUGAUCUCUUUGUUAUUGUGCAUAAAUUUCCACACUUAACCAAGAUUGAAACACAAAGCAAAGAAGAAGAUUUCAUGCAUGUUCGCUAGGCAAACAUCUAGCGAGACCAAGGCGAGAGUUCUCCCAGCAAGCCAACAUCAAGGCUCAGGCAUGGAUAAACAUAAGCAAAACAUCACUCUUCUCGCCUGGCGAGCCUCAAGUGAGCCAACUCGCCCAACAAAGCAAUAAAGAGAUCCAGGAGAGACAAGUUAGAAACAUUCUAUUAGAAAAAUGCUCCAUUGUCGCCAUACAAAGCUACAUCAAGGAAGCUCUCCAGAUGAGCCUUUUGUUCGCCUAGCGAGACAAGGAGGUUUGAGAUGCUGGGUUGACAAAUACUUCAGAGUGAAGAAAUGUGGAUGCAAGGCGAGGCUACAACUCGCCAGGCGAGAGCAGCAGGGCAAUGCCACUAUAUAUGGUUCAGAAAUAUUUCAUUUGAGGAUAGUUGACAUUUUAUAGCAAAAAUAGAUUAGUAAGAGAGAAAUAGACAAAGAGAAGAGUAGACUUGAAGAAUAUAAGCUGGAUAUACAUCAAUCAUCUAGAAAUCGUCAUUGAUGCUCAUCCAUCUUCCUUUCUUCUCAUUUGUAAUCAAAGCUACCAUGAGUAGCUAAAUCUCUUUAUUGUUUGGAUUAGAUGUAAGUCAUCAGUACCGUAUGCAUUUAUUGUGAUCAUGGUGUUAUAUAUGAAUUAUUCAUUUAUUGAUAUUGAUCUUAUCCUUAUUUACUUGUUUUACUUAUAGAUUUGAACCGUUAUUGAUAAAUACUCUUCGAAUCUCGAUUUAGGAUAAUCAUCUGUUAGAUGCUAAAUUCUAGACAUAGAUUUAUGUUUAACAUUCAUAAGAGUAUUGAAUCUUAAUGCUACUGUAUUAUUUAAUAGGUUGAGAGAUUGUCGAUUAAACAAUACAGUUGAACUCUCGUUAGGAGUUUAGACGCAAACACUAUCGGUGAGUGAUACAUGAUAAUAUUGAUCAAACGACUAAUAUUUGUAUAAAUGAUCGGAAGAAUACAUGCGUGAUCGGUGGAUGAAUCUGUAGAUGUUUGAUUGGCUGCAUUUUAUGGUAAAACACUAGCUGGAUUCUAAUGUCUUGACUGAUGUCAUGACAUGCUGUGGAGAUGUUUGUUUGACUGCAUUGUGUGUUAGAUCAUCUAACUGUACUCUGAUGUCUUGACUGAUUCAUGACAUACUUGAGUAGUAAUGCUGCAGGUUUAGCUAAUACAAGACUUACUGAAUGUCAAACUAGAUGUUAUGACCUGUCAGCAGAUACUGAGGAAUAGAACAGUUGGUGUUCUUCUAUAACUCAGUAUUUAUUUUCAGUCUGUUUAUCAAGGGAAUAACAGACCUGGCACAAGGCCUACUGUCUGAAUGUCAAACUAGAUGUUAUGACAUUCAUCAUUGACAGCAUAUACUGAAUAAUAGGCAGGUUGGUUUUCUGCUACACUUCAGUAUGUAUCUCAGUCUGUUCUUCAGGAGAACAACAGACCAUGGCAUAAGGCCUUAUAUGUAAAUGUCAAAUUGGAUAUUGUGACAUUUAUUAAUGUAAGCUGAUACUAAAGUAUGGACGAAUUGGUCCUAUACAGUACAACAAAUUUGUACAGUCUGUUUUCAGGAAAAACAGACUUAGCAUAUGGUCUAUGAUGUGGACGUCAAACUGAAUGUUGUGACAUUCAUUCCUGACAGCAUAUGCUAAAUUAUAGGUUGUUUAGUUUUUCUGUUUCACCAUUUUUCUCAGGCUAUUCUUCAGGAAUUCAACAGCUGAGCUAAAAUCUAGGAAACUAACAACUAAGCUACAAUUAAUGAACCUAACAAAUAGCCUAUUUGUUAGUACCCUAAGAUGUGGAAAUUAGGUUAAACUGUGCUUGACCUUAAUUUCAGGAAUACAAGUACAAGCCCAAGGUGCUGGCAUAUAAAAGGAUGACUAUCCUUCAUUCUAGAACGCGGGAUUUUAGGCGUGAAGAUUUAUUUGUUUCAUAUACUUCGCUACUGUAUUUUGUGUGUGUCCUUGUAUUAGGUGUAUCUGUGAGCCAAGCGAAUUAUCACCUAGAUGAUGCAUUGGACUAGGGUGUCAUUGAGUUGUAGUGUUGUGUCACUCUAAGCUUUUAGCGUGAGUGCUGUGUAUCUUGAUUAAGUUGUUAAGCACAAUCAAGAGUGUUUGAAGUGUGGACUCAUAAUUAUCUUUAAAUCUUAAUUAAAGUUGUAAUACUGGAGGUGAUUGAGGGGGGUGAGUAGGAACUCUGAUCUUAGUGUAGGAUUGAAAUUGCAUUGGGUAGGUAUUAAGUGAUAGGGUUAAACAGUUGUUUAAGUUCUGAAUUAAUACUACUAAUAGUGGAUUUCCUCCCUGGCUUGGUAGCCCCAGACGUAGGUCAUGUGGACCGGAACUGGGUAACAUUCCUUGUGAUUAUUUACUGCACUUACUUGUUUAAGUUCUGCAUAAUCUUUGUCUGCGCAGAAUUGGAUGUCAUAACAUCCCGUGUGACAUCGAAAGUCGUGUUAACUAGCAAUUUCAAUUGGCAUCAGAGCCAGCACACCUGCCAGCCGUGUUAAUUUCUGGGUGAGAUCUAGGGAAGUUACUUUCUAGUACCGAAUGGACAAGGAUGUAGGAUACUCAAAUAGACCACCCAUGCUGGAUAGGUCUAACAUGAUAACUGGAAGCGCUCUGUAUGAUAGCCUUCUUGAGGUCUCUAGAUAGCAAAGUCUGGAGAGCUGUCAACAAAGGAUGGGAACAUCCAACGAAGACAGGUAAAGAUGGAGUCAGUGUGCAAAUUCCUGAAGAGAGUGGGACAAGGAGCAAGAGGGCAUGUAGCUCUUGAAAUUCUAAGGCCUUGAAUGCAUUGUUCAAGUGGAUAAGUAAGACAUCUUCAGACUGGUGCAGCACUGUGAACUGGCUAAGGAAGUUUGGGAUACCCUCAGAUAAACUCAGAAGGUACUCGCAAGGUGAAGAUGCUAAACCAGAUGCUGACACACAGUUGAAAACUGAGGAGAAAGAGCAUGAGACGUAUUCAUGACUUUCACAUGAAUAUUCUGAAAUUGCCAACACCGUCUGGUGGCUUAGUGAGAAAUGGCUGAAGAGAAACUUGUAAGAAAAAUUCUCAAGGUCAUUACCUAAGAGAUUUGCCAUGAAGGUCACUGGCUAUGAGAAAGAACUAAGGAGAUCUGCAAUAUGAAUGGGUGGAGGAGCCAUUGGUUCUCUCCAAACCUUUGAAAUCGGACGUGGUGGACGAAUGUUAACAAAGAACAAAGCGUAGCUUUGUAUCAAAUUGCUUAAGAGGAUUCAGAGCAGAGUUACUGGGGUAUGAAGCAUAUUAAGAACCCAUAGCCAUGCUUGGGAAUGCAGUUUCAACAAGUCGGAAGAAGAGUUUGAUCAAAAAGGGAGACCAAAUGUCAAGAACAUCUCGUCUGACAUCAGGAAAAGAUCAACUUCUGAAGAAAAGUUCAACCAAGGCAAGGGAAUCCAGUGCCAUGGAUUUGAAGGUUUUGGACACGUUAGAGCCGAAUGUCCCACUUACCUUAAGAUACAAAAGAAGGGGCUAUCUGUCACAUGGUCUGAAGGAGAGUCUGAGAGUGAAUCUGAAGGAGAAUCUGCUAAACAUGUCACUGCACUAACUAGUGUUUGUGCCACUGAUGAUGACUCAAAUGCAGAUGAACUGACCUUUGAUGAACUUGCUGCAUCAUAUAAGGAGCUAUGUGUCACAAGUAUAGAAGUGCGUGUACAAGGAGAAAAGCAGAAGAAACUCAUCAAGGAGCUGGAGGAUGAGAAACAGAAGCAUCUGACAGUCAUAGAUGGUCUAAAUGGUGAAAUACCAUUGCUGACCUCCAAGCUAGAUCAAAUGACGAAAUCUAUCAGAAUGCUAAAUAAAGGAACGGACACCUUGGAAGAGAUCCUAAAGGUGGGACAGAAGUCUGGAACCAUGUCUGGUUUAGGCUUUGUGAAGAAAUCCUCAGCUGAACUCAAACGCUCAAAGGCUGAAGUUCAGAAAUUCAAGCGGAGGUCACACCCAAUGUCUCAACAUCAGGGAACCAGGAUGAGUAACCAUCAGAAGAAGAAAUUUCAGAGAUGGAGAUGUCACUACUGCGGUAGGUUUGGUCAUAUAAAAGCCUUCUGCUACAGGCUGCAUGGUUAUCCUAACCAAGCCCCUCAUGUCAGACCUAAGCAUAAGGCAUAUAAGCAUAAUGCCCCCAUCAAGAAACGACAAUGGUAUGCUAGGUUAGCUCACACAGCUCUAAGGGCAUCUACCAGAGAAGACUGGUACUUUGAUAGUGGCUGCUCAAGACAUAUGACUGGUAUGGAGAAUUUAUUGGUGGAUAUACAACCUCACACUACCAGUUAUGUGACCUUUGGUGAUGGUGCUAAAGGAAAAAUCAAAGGUGUGGGUAAGCUGGACAACACUGGAGUUCCANAUGACCAUUCCAGAUACACUUGGAUAAGCUUCAUCAGAGAAAAGUCAGAUGCAUUUGAUGUCUUCAAAGAACUGUGCAUCAGACUUCAAAGGGAAAAUGACAGUUAUGUUGUCCGAAUUAGGAGUGACCAUGGGACGGAGUUUAAGAAUUCCAAGUUUGAUGAGUUUUGCUCGUCUGAAGGGAUAAGUCAUGAGUUUUCCUCUCCUAUAACUCCUCAGCAAAAUGGGAUAGUUGAAAGGAAAAACAGAACUAUUCAAGAAUCUGCCAGAGCAAUGAUUCAUGCAAAGAAGCUUCCUAUGGACUUUUGGGCCGAAGCAAUGAAUACAGCUUGCUAUGUUCACAAUAGAGUUACCUUGAGAAAAGGAACCUCUUCCACUCUGUAUGAAAUAUGAAAAGGCAGAAAGCCCACUGUGAAGUACUUUCAUAUCUUUGGAAGUAAAUAUUACAUUCUUACAGAUCGUGAACAGAGAAGGAAAAUGGAUCCCAAAAGUGAUGAGGGUAUAUUCCUAGGAUACUCAACUAACAGCAGAGCCUACAGAGUAUUCAACUCCAGGACCAAUGUCCUAAUGGAAUCCAUAAAUGUUACUGUGGAUGAUAAAGAGGAAGGAGUCGAUGUCAUAGAGGAUGUUGGAACAUUCCUUGAUACUCUAACAGACAUACCAGUCAAGUCUGAAGAAGUACAGGAGACUCCUCCUGAAUGUGAGGUAGAUGCAUCCACCAAAGUGCCAUCUAUCAGAAUUCAGAAAGACCACCCUAAGGAUCUUAUCAUAGGGGAUGUUCCGGCUUCCAACAUGACCUACGUCUGGGGGCUACCAAGCCAGGGAGGAAAUCCACUAUUAGUAGUAUUAAUUCAGACCUUAAACCAACUAUUUAAUCCUAUCACUUAAUACCUACCCAAUGCAAUUUCAUCUUACCACUAAGAUCAGAGUUCCUACUCACUCCCCUCAAUCACCUCAGUGAUUACAUCCUUUAAUUAAGAUUAAAGAUAAUUAUGAGUCACACUUCAAACAACUCUUGAUUGUGCUUAACAGCUUUAAUCAAGAUACACAGCACUCACGCUUAAAAGCUUAGAGUGACAACAACAUUACAACUCAAUGAACACCCUAGUCCAAUGCAAUCAUCUAGGUGAUAAUUGCUUGGCUCACAAGAUACACCUAAUACAAGACCACACAAAAAUACAGCAGUGAAGUAUUGAAACAAUAAAAUCUCACGCCUAAAAUCCCCGAGUUCUGAAUGAAGGAUAGCCAUCCUUUUAUAUUGCAGCACUUGGGCCUUGUACUUGUAUUUCCUGAAAUAGGUCAAGCAGUUAACCUAAUUUCCACAUCUUAGGGUAUAACAAAUAGGCUAUUUGUUAGGUUCAUUAAUUGUAGCUUAGUUGUUAGUUUCCUAGAUUUUAGCUCAACUGUUGAAUUCCUGAAGAAUAGCCUGAGAAAAAUGCUGAAUAGAAAAACUAAACACCCUACAAUUUAGCAGUAUGCUGUCAGGAAUGAAUGUCACAACAUUCAGUUUGACGUCCCAAUCAUAGACCAUAUGCUAAGUCUGUUUUCCUGAAAACAGACUGUACAAAUUUGUUGUACUGUAUAGGACCAAUCCGUCCAUACUUCAGUAUCAGCUUACAUUAAUAAAUGUCACAUAUCCAAUUUGACAUUUACACAUAAGGCCUUUGUUCAUGGUCGGUUGUUCUCCUGAAGAACAGACUGAGAUACAUACUGAAGUGUAGCAGAAAACCAACCUGCCUACUAUUCAGUAUAUGUUAUCAUGAUGAAUGUCAUAACAUCCAGUUUGACAUUCAGACAGUAGGCCUUGUGCCAGGUCUGUUAUUCCCUUGAUAAACAGACUGAAAAAAAUACUGAGUUAUAAGAAGACACCCAACUGUUCUAUUCCUCAGUAUCUGCUGACAGGGAUGAAUGUCAUAACAUCUGUUUGACAUUCAGUAAGUCUUGUAUUAGCUAAACCUGCAGCAUACUACUCAAGUAUGUCAUGACAUCAGUCAAGACAUCAGAGUACAGUUAGAUGAUCUAACACAAAUGCAUUCAAACAAACAUCUCCACAGCAUGUUCAUGACAUCAGUCAAGACAUUAGAAAUCCAGCUAAUGUUUUACCAUAAAAUGCAGCCAAUCAAACAUCUACAAACUCCCCCUUUGGCAAAUUUUUGGCUAAAACACUUUGGCCUCACAACAGAGUACGGCAGCAGCAGAACACACAUCUAGCAGGGAAAUUGACGCUAGCUUAUACACUCAGAGUAGCAGCACACUCACACAAUGAAGUUAAUAAAACUUCACAUAUCAGCACACAUACAGAAGUUAAAUAAAAACUUCUAAUAGCAGCACACAAAACACACUCACACUCAUGGAAGUGGAACAUCAGCUACACACAACCUCUGGAUUAGAGGAUCUUCAAUAUCUGUUUAGAAAAAUUUGUUGUCCUGGGGCAUCACAGGUGUUACUCUCCCCUUUUGUCAAAAUGUUGCCAAAGCAACACUUUAAUUACAAACCACAAUAAACAGAAUUACACACAAAUGACAGAAUUACAGACUUGAUUUUACUUCACAGUUUCAUCAAGAAUAUCCCCUCUUGAUCAUGCAUUACAACUUUGAUCAAGACAUCACCACUUGAUCUUGUUCACAGUUUGAUCAAGUAGUUACACCACUCUUGCUUUACAGCAGAUACACCACAUAUCAGAUGCCAUGAUGAGUCUGACAUCUUGAACCAUCAUGCAUGAACACUUUCUUGGAAGUCCAGCAGGCACAUAGGCUGUCCCAUGUUAGGAUAUCCCUCAACAUCUUGUUACCACACUUGCAGCAAGUAACAUAGUUGUGAUCUGUUGUCCAGUCUAGCACACUUCAAUUGUUUAAUAGGUUGAGAUAUUAACAAUACAUCCCAAACAUCAUUGGUUGCUAUAAAUCCUCAGAAAGGCAUAUUCCCAGUUUGCCCCUUAAAUUUUCAAACUGGGUAGCAUCCAGAGCCUUUGUGAAUAUGUCAGCAAGUUGUAGUUCAGUGGCUACAUGUUCCAAGGUAAUCACUUUGUCUUCCACCAGAUCUCUGAUGAAGUGAUGUCUAAUGUCAAAAUGUUUGGUCCUGCUGUGUUGGGAUGGGUUCUUGGAAAUAUUGAUGGCACUGAGAUUGUCACAGUACAAAGUCAUGACAUUUGAGAGACAUUGUACUCAGUAAGCAUCUGUUCAUCCACACCAGUUGGGAACAACUGCUUCAGCUGCUAUGUAUUCAGCCUCUGCAGUGGACAGAGAUACACAAUUCUGUUUCUUGCUGAAACCAUGAGAUGAGAUUGUUUCCCAAGAAGAAACAUCCUCCUAAGGUGCUUUUCUGUCAUCAGCACUCCCAGCCAAUCAGCAUCACAAUACCCAGAUAGGACAGGCUCAGAGCCAUGAGAGUAUAGCAUACCAUAGUCACAAGUCCCAUUGACAUACUUGAGAAUCCUCUUGACUUGAUUUAAGUGGCUCACUUUGGUUCUGCUUGGUAUCUAGCACACACUCCAAUUGCAUAGGAAAUAUCAGGUCUACUGGCAGUUAGAUAUAGUAGACUACCUAUCAUGCUUCUAUACAAGCAUGAUCAACAAUGGGACCUCAUCAUCUUUGGUUAACUUCAAAUGAGUAGGUGCAAGGAGUUCUUUGUGCCUAGCAUUAUCCAUACCAAACUUCUUAACUAUGUUUUUGGCAUACUUGCUUGGGAGAGAACAAGACUCCUCCAUUUGGUUGACUUGCAUUCCAAGAAAAUAAGUCAGUUCCCCAACCAGACUCAUUUCAAACUCAGAUUGCAUCUGGUGAACAAAAUGUUUCACCAUUCUUCUGACAUUCCACCAAAGGCAAUGUCAUCCACAUAAAUUGGGCAAUCAUGAUUUUGCCAUCUUCAUCUUCACAAACAGGUCUUAUCUAUCCACCUUUUCUGUACCCAUGAGAGUCAGAAAUUCAGUCAACUUUCAUACCAACUCUAGGUGCUUGCUUCAACCCAUACAAGGCUUCCUUCAACUUGUACACAUGUUUAGGUUGGUUAGGACACAGAACCCUUGGGUUGUUCCACAUAGACUUCUUCAUUUAAGUAGCCAUUUAAAAAUGCACUCUUCACAUCCAUUUGGAACAAUUUGAACUUCAGAAUGCAGGCCACACUAACAGCAUUCUGACUGACUCAAGUCUAGCAACAGGGCAAUGUCUCAUCAAAAUCAACCCCUUCAACUGAGUAUAUCCUUGAGCCACUAGUCUUGCUUUUAUUCCUAGUGAUUACUCCUUUCUCAUCAGACUUGUUCUUGGUAAUCCACUUGGGUACCAAUGAUGUUAGUCCCUUCAGGUCGUGGAACUAACUCCCAUACUUCAUUCCUUUUAAACUGCUCCAGUUCAUUCUGCAUGGCAUUGAUCCAAUAUUCAUCAGUCAGGGCUUCUUUCACAUUUUUUGGUUCAACCUUGGAUACAAACAGGAAUUUGAGCUAUAUUUCCCUUGAUAUGGUAGUCACCCACUAUUGGGAUCCCCUAUGUAAGAUCCUUAGGGUGGUCUUUCUGAAUUCUGAUAGAUGGCACUUUGGUGGAUGCAUCUACCUCACAUUCAGGAGGAGAGUCUCCUGUACUUCUUCAGACUUGACUGGUAUGUCUUUAGAGUAUCAAGGAAUGUUCCAACAUCCUCUAUGACAUCGACUCCUUCCUCUUUAUCAUCCACACAGUAACAUUUAUGGAUUCCAUUAGGACAUUGGUCCUGGAGUUGAAUUACUCUGUAGGCUCUGCCUGUUAGUUGAGUAUCCUAGGAAUAUACCCCAUCACUUUUGGGAUCCAUUUCCUUCUCUGUCACGAUCUGUAAGAAUGUAAUAUUUACUUCCAAAGAUAUGAAGUACUUCACAGUGGGCUUUCUGCCUUUUCAUAUUUCAUACAGCAGUGGAAGAGGUUCCUUUCUCAAGGUAACUCUAUGGAACAUAGCAGCUGUAUUCAUUGCUUCGGCCCAAAGUCCAUAGGAAGCUUCUUGCAUGAAUCAUUGCUCUGGCAGAUUCUUUGAUAGUUCUGUUUUUCUCUUUCAACUAUCCAUUUUUGCUGAGGAGUUAUAGGAGAGGAAACUCAUGACUUAUCCCUUCAGACGAGCAAAACUCAUCAAACUUGGAAUUCUUAACUCCGUCCAUGGUCACUCUAAUUCGGACAAACAUAACUGUCAUUUUCCCUUUGAAGUCUGAUGCACAGUUCUUUGAAGACACAAAUGCAUCUGACUUUCUUGAUGAAGCUUAUCCAAGUGUAUCUGGAAUGGUCAUCAACAACCACAUAGGCAUACCUCUUUCCACCCAGACUCUCAACCUGCAUUAGCGUCUCACUUAAAGUCCAUGUGCAAAAAGGUUCCAGAGUUUUGGAUGUUGUAGGAUGUUACCAGUUAGGUGUGACAUCUUGUUUGCUUGCGACCUGGAUUCUCCACAGACUCUUCCUUCUCAAUAAGCAGCUUUGGGAUUCCUCUAACUGCUUUCUGGAUAUGAUCUUUUUCAUUCCCCUUAAGUGGAGAUGACCAAGACGUCUAUGCCACAACUUCACCUCCUGUUCUUCCUUGGCUGAGGAGCAAAUUAUGAAAGUUGAGACUUUAGGUUCCCACAGGAUAACAGUUAUCUUUGGAUCUGAUCCUCUCAUACUUCCUGUUAUCUCCAUUUGUCACAACACAUAGCUCCUUAGUAAACUGAACAUAGAACCCUUGAUCACACAGCUUGGCUUAUGCUGAUGAGAUUUAGCCGAGUUAGUCCUUUUACUAACAACACAUUAUUCAGUUUUGGAACUCCCAAUUGCAUUCCAGCUUAACCCACACCUUUGAUUUUUCUUUAAGCACCAUCACCAAAGGGUCACCAUAACUGGUAGUGUGAGGUUGUAUAUCACCCAAUAAAUUCCCAAUACCAGUCAUAUUCUUGAGCAGGCCACUAUUCAAGUACCAGUUCUGUUCUCUGGUAGAUGCCUUGAGCUGUGUGAGCUUAACCUAGCAUACCAUUGUCGUUUCUUGAUGGCGGGCAUUAUGCUGUUAUGCCCUUAUGCUUAGCGGGUCUGACAUGCAGGGCUUGGUAGGAUAACCAUGCAGCGGUAGCCAGAGGCUUUUAUAUGACCAAACCUACCGCCAGUAGUGACAUCUCCAUCUUCCUGAAAUUUCUUCUUCUUUUGAUGGUUACUCUCCUGGUUCCCUGAUGUUUGAGACAUUGGGGUGUGACCUCCGCUUUGAAUUUCUGAACUUCAGCCUUUUGAGCGUUGAGUUUCAGCUGAGGAUUCUUCACAAGCCUAAAACCAGACAUUGGUUCCAGACUUCCUGUCCCACCUUUAGGGAUCUCUUCCAAGGUGUCCGUUCCUUUAAUUUAGCAUUCUGAUAGAUUUCGUCAUUUGAUCUAGGCUUGGAGGUCAGCAAUGGCGUAUCUUUCCACCAUUUAUACCAUCUAGACUGUCAGAUGCUUCUGUUGUACUCAUCCUCCAAGCCUCCUUGAAUGAGUUUUCUUGUCUGGCUUUUCUGCCUUGUACACGCCAAACUUCUAUUACUUGUGACACAUAGCUCCUUAUUAUUUGAUGCCAGCAAGUUUCAUCAAAGGCGUCAGUUCAUCUGCAUUUGAGGUCAUCAUCAGUGGGCACAAACACUAGUUAGUGCAGUGAACAUGUUUAGCAGAUUCCUCCUUCAGAUUUCACUUUCUCAGGGACUUCUCCUUCAAGACCCAUGUGACAGAUUAAGCCCCUUUUUUGUAUCUAUAAGGUUAGGUAAGUGGGACAUUCGGCUCUAACGUUGUCCCCCAAAAACUUCAAAAAUUCCAUGGCAACUGGGAUUCCCUUUUUUGCCUUGGUUGGGGGAACUUUUUUCCUUCAAGGGAAGUUGGGAUUCUUUUUCCUUUGAUGUUUCAGGACGAAGGAAGUUUCCUGGGGGGACCAAAUUUUUUUUUGGGGUCCUUUUUCCCCUUUUUUGGGAAAAUCCAAAUUUUAAUUUUUCGUUUCCCACGGAAAAAACUUUGUUUUUUUUUUUGGGGGAAAAAAAAAACUUUUUUGAAAUCUUUUUUCCCUCCUUUUUUUUUGNAGACGUAGGUCAUGUUGGACCGAACUGGGUAAACAAUUCCUUGUGAUUAUUUACUGCACUUACUUUUUAAGUUCUGCAUAAUUCUUGUCUGCGCAGAAUUGGAUGUCAUAACAUCCCGUGUGACAUCGAAAGUCUGUUAACUAGAAUUUCAGAAUCCCAAUCUUAGUAAGCUUUCUCAUAUUUGAAACUUCACUUAUUAUUUACCAUUUUUACAUUCCUUAUUGUAUGCAAACAAACAAUUUGACAACUUCCCACUUAAACCAUUUUAAUUGUUGAACGACAUUUAAUAUCGCAUCAAUCCAUGUGGAUACGAUAAAACAAAUACUUACCUUUGAUGUUGAAUACUGCAACCAUCGAAAUGGUGCCGUUGCCGGGGACUGGCGUUUAGAUACUAAAAUCUUUGCAACAAUUCAUACUUGUUUAAGAAAUUUCACACAUUUCAUAUUAUACAUGUAUUUUCUACCUAUCAUGCUGCUCACUUGUGUGGUGAGGUUGUGAAUUAUGUGUAUGCAAGGUAAAACUCCGGAAGAUCAACUUCUUUUUGAUCAAGAGAUUGAAAGGACGAUCCGAAGGAAUAACAAUAAGACCAAAAGGCACAAACAAUUAACUAAGCAACGAAAUCAACAAGAAGGAGCUUCUACCUCAAGUUAUUUUAAACAACAAAAGAAAGUCAUGGUCGAGGCCGAAGACAACAACAAAAACAUCAUCAACAACCCACCCGUAGUUGAAAGUAUGCCAUGUCAUAAUAGUCCGAGGUGAUUGGCUCUCAUGUCCAGAACUCCUACAAAUACCAGGAAAACAAAGAUGAAUAUAUGAUUACUUCAGACUACUUAUGUGAAUCCUUUUGUUGGUCUUGAUCAUGAAGAUCCUUUCGCUCACCUCACCAAAUUAUAUGAAUUAUCCAGUACACUUGGAUCUUUUAAUGCUGAAGAGGGAGCAAUAUUUAUGAUAUUAUUUCCUCAUUCCUUGAUUGGUAAGGCUAAAUAUCGGUAUCUCGACCAACCAGCACAAAUCAUGACCAACUGGAAUAUUCUCGAAGAAAAGUUUCUGAGUUGGUUAUUUCCAUAUAACAAGUUCUUAGAUGCAAAGACCGCAAUUACUGUGUUUGCCCAAGGCUCCGCUGAAACACUUUGCAAAGCGUGGGAGCGGUAUAAGUCUAUGUUGAGUAAGUGUCCUAGUCAUAGUUUUGAUGAUAUCACACAACUUCAUAUUUUACGCAACGGACUUCAAGCGCAAAUCAAACUUCUUUUAGAUGAAACAACAAGUGGUUCCUUAAUGUCUAAGAGCAUAGAGGAUGCAAUAUCCAUCAUUGAUCAUAUUGGCACUCAAUGACCAUCAAGUCCACUAUAACAGGGGUGCCUCACAAUGAAAAGCUGGUAUUCUCGAGUUCACUAUAACAGGGGUACCUCACAAUGAAAAGCUGCUAUUCUUGAGUUAGGAAUGAAUGAUGUGAUCCUAGCUCAGAAUAAGUUACUAACUUAAACAGUGGAAACACUCACCAAGCAACUUUCAAAACUUCCACAAUAAUUCAAACAUAUGUAGGAGACACUGAAUAAACCACAACAAAUCGCUUUUUGUAAACUUUGUACUGGUGAUCAUCUCACUGACUUUUGUCCACCAGCUGUUGAAGAAGUGAAUUACAUGGGUAACCAACAACAAAGGCAAGUACCCUAUCAAGGAAAUCAGGGCUACUUGUCAUACCCUAAAUUUUACCCUAGGUUUUUCACCCGCAUCAACAUAGCAUAACCAAUCCAAUUUGUCAUGCAUUUUACCAAUUAAAAGAAUUUAGCAGGGUUUAGAUGAAAAGUCAGGAGUUCUAGAAUUCCAUAUGAUCUUGAGGACAUUCAUUCAAUCAUUUAUUGAUUAAAAAGUCAAAAUAUUUGAUUUCUCAACCUCAAUGCGUCGUUCGUUCCAUUGCAUCGUGUUUUCAAAGAUUUAGAGGGUAACAAUUAAGAGUAUUGUCGUCAUCUGAAUCUUUGUAGAAUUUAAGUGUGAUUGAGAAUCAGAAGUAAAUGGUCCCAGAGCGGUUCAUUUGCAUCUGAUUGUCUAUUCACGGUUAUUCAGUCAACAAUUCAACGCAUCCCCAAGAUGUCUGUAUUUUCUACUCAUCACAUCAUGCAUUUUGUUUCGUAUAACGCUUAAAAUAUCGCUCAAAAUAUUUUUUCAGGUCUACAAACAGACUAGUCAAAUCGUUUCUCAAUUGUACAUCAAAUUAGUAGGCAAAAGAUUUCAAUCUUAUUAUACCUGGUGUUUAGGCCCCCCUCUUUUAUUCACAUUUUCCUUGACUUCAGCCUUAUUAUAAUCUCCUUAAGGUGGAUGAUGUCCCAUACUGACUUUGAUGUUUUUCUUCUCUUUCCCAUCCAAUCUUCUUUUUUGUUGUUGUCACUUAUAUCAGUUUGAUUAUCUAUCUUAUUUAAUUAUUUUACUAUAUAUAUUCCACUUUAAGUCCACCCACCAAAAUACCUCUCUAUUCCACCAUCUAAGUCUUACCAUCAACCUCUUCAUUUUUUCUUUCAAGACAAAAGCCCUAUUACCUUGCACAUCAAAGGAUUCCCAUUCUCUCUUUACAAAGUUUAGGAAGUCCUCGUGAUCAUACCAACAACUAAGUGUUUUGAAAGGCCUGGGCUCCAAAUCUAGAUUGUUUGAUCUGAUCCAUAUUGGAUUGUGAUAAGAAAUGUAUUCAUUCUCCACUUCUUGGCCACUAAUCUUACACCAAUCUAUGAUACUAUCUGAAAAUAAAAUUCUAUCUAGCCUACUUCUAGAGCUACCUUCCACAUUAGAAAGUAUUCCAUAUUACUAGGACAUUUAUCAAAUUCAUGGACUCUAUAAAAUCACUAAAUCCUACCAUUUCUAGAGUUUUUUAUGUACAUAUGAUAGAAUUAAAAUCACCCUCACUACCAAUUCCCCCGGUUCUUGACUAGAUUUAAUAUGCAAAAAAAAACAAUCCAUAAUUCUCUUUUCCUACUCAGAAUACAAGAUAAAUAAACAUUAAUGAAAUAGCAUAAGUUACCUUUCCACUAUACUCGAGUUCAUAAGGAUCCCUCUCCUUUGAAGCUGCAUAGCCACUGAAUCGAUCAUGCGUUCGACAUCUUUAUAAGUCCUCCGGAUUGUCCUUCUGAUUCUUUGGCAUACCAUUCGAACUCUCUGCAAUCCCAAAGACCUUUCACCCCAACUUCCUCAAGUAAACACAAAUUGGAACUCAAUGGAGUUACUUUUAUGGAGAAUACACCUUUCAUAUGAAACUGCUCUUGUAUAUUAUAAGUCAUUCCAUCUUUUAAUUUGUAUCAAAACUACUUUAAGAGAAACUUAUGUAAGGAUCAAACAAGUUAUCUUAAGGGGCCAUUUAAUAGUGCUAUAAUACUUCAGAAUUUUCACUAGGAAUAUUAAAAGACAAAUAUAGCGAUAUAGUAAAUAUUUUUAAAGAAGAUUCAACCAUGAACUAUUAAAGCUUACUCUAAUAUAGAUUACAAGAUCAAUUAAUGUCAGUUAUUCUAUUUUUUAUGUUAAUUAAUAGUAUGAGUUUUUAAU
rnacentral:lncRNA from 1 species